rnacentral:rRNA from 1 species
UACGGAGGGUGCAAGCGUUGUUCGGAAUUAUUGGGCGUAAAGGGCGCGUAGGCGGUGCGGUAAGUCUGUGGUGAAAUCUCUGGGCUCAACUCAGAGUCUGCUAUAGAAACUGCCGUGCUAGAGUGUGGGAGAGGUGAGUGGAAUUCCCGGUGUAGAGGUGAAAUGCGUAGAUAUCGGGAGGAACACCUGUGGCGAAAGCGGCUCACUGGACCACAACUGACGCUGAGGCGCGAAAGCUAGGGGAGCAAACAGG